GACAGAAAGAGACAAAACCAGGUUAGGUGCAGUGCGGAAGGGGUCAAAGCGGGGGCCAUAUGGGAAAGAGGGACAGUCAGGUAGCCUGGAGUGGGGAGCCUGGGCCCUGAGACUCUGGGUAUAGGAUUCCCAGCCCUUCGUGCAAGAGCCAAUGAUGGGGGUUGGGGAGAUCCUACUGGGUCUGGGCUUACAGGGGACCAGGGAGUGGGGGCACAGGAAGGCCACCAAGGCUACUGACCACCCAGAAGUAGCACAUAGGACAACCAGCAGGAGCUGACUUGCUCCUUCCACAGAGUUCAUCCUGUGGUUCGAAUCCAAGUUGUCAGGCUUAGUGGCAGAUGCCUUUACUCACUGAACCAUCUUGAUCCCCUCUGUUCCCCACCCCUACUUUUUUUCUGAUACAGGGUUUCUCUGUGCAGCCCUGGCUGUCCUGAAACUCUCUUUGUAGACCAGGCUGGCCUCGAACCCAGAGAUUCACCUGCCUUUGCUGGGAUUAGAGGCGCAUACCACCACGACCCUACCUCACCCCCUUUAUUUUUUUUAAAGACAGUUUCCUGAAUUCUAGACUGGCUUCAAUUCACUGUGGAGCAGAGGAAGGCUUUAGAGUAUUCCUGCCUCCACCUCUGAGUGUUGGAAUUGUGGGUGUUCACUGCCCGGCCAGUGUUCCUCCUGUUCUCCUUUACAGUGUUCCUGGAGACCCAGAAGUGUUCAGCCUUCAGCGUAGGUGUGGGGAGGCAUGCAUGGUCCUUACCCUCAUGGCCCACAGGCUGCCUAGUAACACAGUUAGAGGCCACCAGAGGGAAGUGCACAUGGGGCACAGUGCACACACUUUUAAUCCCAGCUCUCAGGAGGCAGAGGCAGAUGGAUCCCUGAAUCCGAGGCCAGUCUGGUCUAUACAGUGAGUUCUAAGACAGUGAGGACUGUGUAGACCUUAAUUGAAAAACAAGAGAGAAGGCAGCGUAUGUGCAGCUAGGGAGGAGGCAGGAUGCCACAGAGUCUGGAGUACACUGUGGAGGCCCCAUGCCCCGGGCCAUGUCUGAAGUCUGAGUGCCAGCCAGCACAUGGUGAGCAGGGCAGCCUGGCUCCAGGCCUCGGUUUCCAUACUCCAGCACACAGGGUUGGGUCAAAGGUCAUGAAAAGGAGUCAGUUCUGGCCUUGCUUGGAAGGUGUCCUGCUUUCUGCCUGGUCUGAUGGGGGUCCCUCAGGCAGAGUGGGCCUGACGGCCAUCAUGGCCGACACUUUCCCGAUUAGCCACAUUUUUCUCUGCCCGGCUGGCUGCCCCUCCUGCCUUACCAUGUGGCCCUGUGGCUGACAUAGGUAAGGGAGACUGGCAGCCCCUCUGCCAGAGCUAGUGCUGUGCAGAUGAUUGCUCCUGCUCAGGUGUCCUCUUCUGGCCACAAGGUCUGCGUGCCUAAGUGCCAACCAGACAAAGAGCUAGGGGAGACUAUAGGUCCCCCAAGACCCAGUUGCUGCCCAGGUGAGAAGCCCAGGUGAGAGGCCCAGGUGAGAGGCCUAGAGGGGCUGGCUCCAAGGCUGGAUCUUCAGCUCCUCCCAGGGUUUACUCUUACCCCACCUUCCUGGGCUUUCUGCUUUAGGGUUAGGGGCCAGACUGUGGCCCAGGGCUUUUCUGCGGAAGCUAUGGAUGCUGCUAAGUGGUGUCUCGCAGUGGCUGGUCUCCCAGACCUGACAGCUCUUCGCUUGGGGAAUAAUUAAUUCCAUAGCCUGAAAACCCAGGGCUGCAAGUUGCCACGUUACUUUCAAGAUUAAUACAUGCAGCUAAUUAAGAUACAGAGGCAAUGAGCGGCUUGGAGCUCCUAGAACCAAGCAGCGGCCAUGGGAACGGAGAAAGGAGCCAGCCGAGCCUGUAGGCAAGUUAGCUGGGAGACACUGCCAGGUCAGAGGUCAGCCAACAAGGAUCACAGAAGGGGUAGAGUGCAGAGGUCCCAUUCUGGUCCCCAUUCUUAGCAAGAUAGGCUGCUGCUCUUCGCAAAGUACCCCAUUUAUCGUCACAGCCAAGCCACCAGAGAGGGCCUCCUGUUCCCAUUUUACAGAGGAGGAAACUGAAGCUGGGGAAGGGGUGGGGGACAGUGAAGGUGUAGGCAGGGUUGGGGUAGGAGCUGCGGUAGUACUUCAUGGACUUGUGAGUGCAGGAAGCCCUGGGUUGGAUUUUCAACCACGUAUUCCAGAUAUACAGAUUUCUGUGUAUAUACCAGACAUAGUAGCUGAUGCCAGUAAUUUUAUCACUCUGGGAGGUGGAGGCAGGAGGAUCAGAAGUUCAAGGUCAUCUUCUAUUAUGUAAAGAAUUCUAAACCAACCCUGGCUCAAAAUAAACGAAGACUAAAUCUGAGUCUCUCUGAACUGGAAGGCAGGCCACCAAGAUGGGGGGGUUAAGGUUACAACUUGGCUACACCUCCUGGCCACACCUACUUCCUGAAAGCAAGGAGGAGCACUCUGGAGCCUCUAUUACCUCAGCCUCAACUGCUCCACGCCCAGCAGGCUUGGCUGCAAACUUGAGAGGCCGCACUCCGGCAGCCCCGCGUGGGAACCCGGCAGUGGGAGAUGAGGCAUCUCAGGGGUGCUCAUGUAGCCCAGACUAGCCUUGAAUCAGUAUGUACCUAAAGGAGAAGGACCGUGAGUUCUUGAUCCUUCUGCCUCAGGAUCCUGGGGUACAGUGCCUCCCUCUGCCAAGUUCCAGGUUCUCAGGUCUAGCAACUGUGCCUGAAGAAAUCACCCUGCCCUCUCCAGGAGACUUACUCAGAUAAGCAGCUGUCUGAUUACUAACAUCAGGAAUGCCACACCUGCAGUUCCAUCACCGAGCUCUGGCUCAUAGCAGGUGUGUCGAGGGACAUUUUUUCAGUAUUGGGGACUGACUAUUAGCCUCUUGCAUGCUAGGCAAGUGCUCUCCCAUUAAACCACAUCCCCAGCUCAUUGGUGUUUUUGUUUUUGUUUGGUUUUUCAAGACAGGGUUUCUCUGUGCAGCCCUGGCUGUCCU
rnacentral:sRNA from 1 species